rnacentral:rRNA from 1 species
UACGGAGGGGGCUAGCGUUGUUCGGAAUUACUGGGCGUAAAGCGCGCGUAGGCGGUUGCCUAAGUCGGACGUGAAAGCCCUCGGCUUAACCGAGGAAGUGACAUCCGAAACUGAGCAGCUAGAGUACGAAAGAGGGUCGCGGAAUUCCCGGUGUAGAGGUGAAAUUCGUAGAUAGUCGGGAGGAACACCGGCGGCGAAGGGCGGACGAC